AGCAAUCCUCCUGCCUCAGCCUCCCAAUUAGCUGGGACUACUGAUGCCUGUUCACUAUACCCAGACAUAAUGACUGGAGUUCCAGCAGUAAUACUGAUCCGUGAGGACUCUUGAAAAUAGAAGCCACAAGCCAUCCAUAGAGUAGGAACAAGAUGGAAAGAGGGUGAGCCCACUCAGGAGGAGGACGCUGAUCAGCAGGAAAACACAGCCGGCCACUGUCAACAGAGAGAGGGAGUUCAGCAAAGGGCCCUGAUCUUGGCGUGAGGAGGAGCAGCCCGAGCCAGGGCUACAGGGCAGGCUGAGGACAUCCCCAAAGAGCUGCAGCCUCUCUUCUCUGUC